rnacentral:rRNA from 1 species
UGGGGAAUUUUGGACAAUGGGCGAAAGCCUGAUCCAGCAAUGCCGCGUGUGUGAAGAAGGCCUUCGGGUUGUAAAGCACUUUUGUCCGGAAAGAAAUCCUUGGCUCUAAUACAGUCGGGGGAUGACGGUACCGGAAGAAUAAGCACCGGCUAACUACGUGCCAGCAGCUGCGGUAAUACGUAGGGUGCAAGCGUUAAUCGGAAUUACUGGGCGUAAAGCGUGCGCAGGCGGUUUGCUAAGACCGAUGUGAAAUCCCCGGGCUCAACCUGGGAACUGCAUUGGUGACUGGCAGGCUAGAGUAUGGCAGAGGGGGGUAGAAUUCCACGUGUAGCAGUGAAAUGCGUAGAGAUGUGGAGGAAUACCGAUGGCGAAGGCAGCCCCCUGGGCCAAUACUGACGCUCAUGCACGAAAGCGUGGGGAGCAAACAGGAUUAGAUACCCUGGUAGUCCACGCCCUAAACGAUGUCAACUAGUUGUUGGGGAUUCAUUUCCUUAGUAACGUAGCUAACGCGUGAAGUUGACCGCCUGGGGAGUACGGUCGCAAGAUUAAAACUCAAAUGAAUUGACGGGGUCAUAGCUG